rnacentral:rRNA from 1 species
GACGAACGCUGGCGGCGUGCCUAAUACAUGCAAGUCGAGCGAGACUCUUCGGAGUCUAGCGGCGGACGGGUGAGUAACACGCGGGCAACCUGCCCGUAAGACUGGGAUAACACCGGGAAACCGGUGCUAAUACCGGAUAAUCCUUUUCCUCGCAUGAGGAACAGAUGAAAGUCGGUUUCGGCUGACACUUACAGAUGGGCACGCGGCGCAUUAGCUAGUUUGUGAGGGAACGGUUCACAAAGGCGACGAUGCGUAGCCGACCUGAGAGGGUGAUCGGCCACACUGGGAAUGGGACACGGCGCAGACUCCUACGGGAGGCAGCAGUAGGGAAUCUUCCACAAUGGACGAAAGUCUGAUGGAGCAACACCGCGUGAGCGAUGAAGGCCUUCGGGGCGUAAAGCUCUGUUGUUAGGGAAGAACAAGUACCGGAGUAAGUGCCGGUACCUUGACGGUACCUAACCAAAAAGCCACGGCUAACUACGUGCCAGCAGCCGCCGUAAGAC